rnacentral:rRNA from 1 species
AGUGAACGCUGGCGGUAUGCCUAACACAUGCAAGUCGAACGGCAGCACAGUAAGAGCUUGCUCUUACGGGUGGCGAGUGGCGGACGGGUGAGGAAUACAUCGGAAUCUACUUUUUCGUGGGGGAUAACGUAGGGAAACUUACGCUAAUACCGCAUACGACCUACGGGUGAAAGCAGGGGAUCUUCGGACCUUGCGCGAUUGAAUGAGCCGAUGUCGGAUUAGCUAGUUGGCGGGGUAAAGGCCCACCAAGGCGACGAUCCGUAGCUGGUCUGAGAGAAUGAUCAGCCACACUGGAACUGAGACACGGUCCAGACUCCGACGGGAGGCAGCAGUGGGGAAUAUUGGACAAUGGGAGCAAGCAUGAUCCAGCCAUACCGCGUGGGUGAAGAAGGCCUUCGGGUUGUAAAGCCCUUUUGUUGGGAAAGAAAAGCAGCAGGUUAAUACCCCGAUGUUCUGACGGUACCCAAAGAAUAAGCACCGGCUAACUUCGUG